rnacentral:misc_RNA from 1 species
AAUCGAUCUUUAUGGGAAGUGUCUAAAAAGCAUAUUCUAAAAAUAUAUGAAAGCAGGAACAAAAGUAAUACAGGUUUCUGAAGAAAUUCUACCAUCAAAUUAGAAUUAAAUGAAACAACAAAUAAUAGUAGGGAUACAAUAAUAUAAAUGCACGAUAUUUUUACCAUGAAUAUAAAAGCUUUUAAAAUAAAUAAAUAUUAAGAUAUUUUAAAUUCAAAAGCAAUAGAAAAGGCCUAUUAAUCAUUAAAUAUACAAAGAAUAGAAAAAAUUUAUUUAUUACAAGAACGCAGGUGUUCUAAAACUGUUUAUUAUAAAUUUGAUGUACACUGAAAUCUUAUAUUUAUUGAAGAGU